UUUCUUCAUAAAUAAUUAAUUAAAGUCAUUGUCACCGCCCACAUGUCUCUCUUGCGAUGCCUCACUGUCUUGUUAGAUAAACAAACAUAACACGCAGUUUGCUCCAUUAUUUCCCUGAAACCAGCAUCGUAGCUUUAUAUUCAGCUGGAUAAAAGCAUUUUCCCGCGUCCCGUGAAAAUCCUUAUGCAAACCAGGCCAAUUCCACUAAUGAGAUCCACAGAGAGACGAUGCGGUAAUUAAAACUGCCACAUGUUGCACAACAUUGGAGCACCAAGUGCAAAAAGCUGCGUAAUAUCACCUUCUAUAUGUUUUGCGACUAUGCGAUCUCUAAAAUGUCGCGUGUGUUCUAAGAACACAUUCAAUGGAAAUGGAAAUAUUUUAUAAAAUGCACUUGGAAUUGAAAUUAGCUGUUGUCUUUUUGA